rnacentral:tRNA from 1 species
GGGCCGAUCGUCUAGAUGGUUAGGACGCCUGCCUGACGCGCAGGAGGUCGUCGGUUCGACUCCGACUCGGCCCA